AGUGGACAUGGGGAGGUGGGAUGGGGCUCUCAGCUUGGAAUUCGGGAUCUUGCUGGCAUCCAGUUUACUUCCUUGCUGACACUUGGUUCAUAAUAUCAAAACUGAAUGGCACUCCGGCUUUGGGGGGAUCAAGUAAUUGUAACAGCUUGGCAGGUUAACCAUGAAGGCAUCCUGGGAUUUUAGCUGCGGGAUGAUGGUGGACAGAAAAAGGGACAAGACAUAAAACAUAUUGAACACUGUUUUAUGCUGGAUGCUGGUGUGGGAUACUCUGU
rnacentral:lncRNA from 1 species